rnacentral:lncRNA from 1 species
AAAGAGCUAUAACCUAAAGCAGAAUUCUUUUAAAUCUCCUAGUCUACUCUAGAAGACAAACUCCUUGGGACAGAUGGGAGUCAGCCCAGGAAGAAGGGAAAGAAGGAAUUUUAGGUAAAGAAAAUGCUACCUCUCUGAAUCCAGAACUGAACUGUUGGAGAAGAUACCAUAAAGAAGCCUCCAGACUAGCCAGCUUCACAAAAAAUGAACUUUGGGUGUGGUUGAUUGAACAUUUAUUUGUAUCUAUACUUUCAUGCCAAAGGGGACUGCCCCCUAACUGGCUUUUUGGCAAUGUGUCCAGCAAUUAUUGGUUUUUUUUUUCUCUUAUCCUCAAAUUACUGUAAUGUUUAAGUUGAUUAUGUUUUCAUGAUCCUUUUUGGGGAGACUUGUCUCCCCAAUAACGAUCAAAUGGAGAAAUAUAAAAAUAGACUCAAACUCUGGACUUCAAUCCCCACAAGCCCUUGCUCCACUUCCCCAAAAUGCUUUGUAAUCCUACGGAAUUCUGAGGUGGGCUGAGAUCGAGAAGGGAUUUAAGCUGAUUGCAAAGGCUUUUGGGGCUCUUUUGGACUUCUGUUUUGGGGCAGAUGUGGCUCUUUCCAUAAUGUAGGUGAGGUCUUGUCUAGGCCUCUCUGGCCUAGGCACGUUUUCCUUAUCCUGUAUUUUCUUUAAUCCUUAAUCUUUAACAAACCUCUAAAAAUAUAAUACUCCUUGCAGAGAGAAACUAAUUUCUACCUGCCUCAGUCUCCCCUAAAUUUUAAUCUUUACAGCUCUAUGAUUUCUUGGGGUCACUGACUAUGGCUUUCAGAUUUGGACUGAAGAUUCUUGGACUUCUUUGGACUAAGAAGACUCUUGUCUCAUUAGUUCACCAUCUUCCUUCUUAACUAUUGAAGUGCAAAGGUGAAAACUAUAAAAACAAUUUUGACCUCACAGACCAGAUCUCCAGAAAGGGUCUCAGGGACUAUACUUUGAGAAUUGCUGGGUUAGAACAUUUAGUUAGUGGAUCUGCUUUGUACAGAAAACCAAAAAAAGAAAUUAAUUACAGUGUGGUUUGUUGGAUAUUAACUUCUGAUCCAUUAGCCUUCUAAGUGAAGGGUAGCUAAAUACAGACCUGACGUCAUUUAGAAGACACUCAGAUCUCUCUGAAAAAAAAAAUAAAACAAGUUUCUGUGUUGAACUUAAGGUCUUA